rnacentral:rRNA from 1 species
CACGUAGUUAGCCGUGGCUUAUUCCUCAGGUACCGUCACUUUCUUCGUCCCUGAGAAAAGAAGUUUACAACCCGAAAGCCUUCUUCCUUCACGCGGCGUUGCUGGGUCAGGCUUGCGCCCAUUGCCCAAUAUUCCCCACUGCUGCCUCCCGUAGGAGUCUGGGCCGUGUCUCAGUCCCAAUGUGGCCGGCCAACCGCUCAGUCCGGCUACUGAUCGUCGCCUUGGUGGGCCGUUGCCCCACCAACUAGCUAAUCAGACGCGAGUCCAUCUCAGAGCGAUAAAUCUUUGGCAGUCAGAGCCAUGCGACUCAACUGCAUUAUGCGGUAUUAGCAGCUGUUUCCAACUGUUAUUCCCCAUCCAAGGCAGGUUACUCACGCGUUACUCACCCGUCCGCCACUAAACAGUCCUUUCAGUUGUCCGAAAACUCCUUCAAGGGUGUUCCGUUCGACUUGCAUGUGUUAAGCACGCCGCCAGCGUUCAUCCUGAGCCAGGAUCAAACUCU